UGGGGAAUCUUAGACAAUGGGCGCAAGCCUGAUCUAGCCAUGCCGCGUGUGUGAUGAAGGCCCUAGGGUCGUAAAGCACUUUCGCCAGGGAUGAUAAUGACAGUACCUGGUAAAGAAACCCCGGCUAACUCCGUGCCAGCAGCCGCGGUAAUACGGAGGGGGUUAGCGUUGUUCGGAAUUACUGGGCGUAAAGCGCACGUAGGCGGAUCAGAAAGUAGGGGGUGAAAUCCCGAGGCUCAACCUCGGAACUGCCUCCUAAACUCCUGGUCUUGAGUUCGAGAGAGGUGAGUGGAAUUCCAAGUGUAGAGGUGAAAUUCGUAGAUAUUUGGAGGAACACCAGUGGCGAAGGC
rnacentral:rRNA from 1 species